rnacentral:rRNA from 1 species
CCCUACGGGGGGCAGCAGUGAGGAAUAUUGGUCAAUGGACGGAAGUCUGAACCAGCCAUGCCGCGUGCAGGAAGACGGCUCUAUGAGUUGUAAACCUCUUUAGGCGGGGAGCAAUGCCGGGCACGCGUGCCCGGAGGGAGAGUACCCGCAGAAUAAGCAUCGGCUAACUCCGUGCCAGCAGCCGCGGUAAUACGGAGGAUGCGAGCGUUAUCCGGAUUUAUUGGGUUUAAAGGGUGCGUAGGCGGAUUUUUAAGUCAGCGGUAAAAUGUCCGGGCUCAACCCGGGCCGGCCGUUGAAACUGGGGG